GCUGGGCAUGGUGGUGUGUGCCUGUAAUCCUAGCUACUUGGGAGGCUGAGGUGGGAGAAUUGCUUGAGCCUAGGAGUUUGAGGCUGCAGUGAGUUUUGAUUGUGCCACUGCACUCCAGCCUGGGAGACAGAAGGAGAUCCUGUCUCUU
rnacentral:SRP_RNA from 2 species